GCACUUAGUUCACUUGGUUAGAGGAUGGUGCUGAUAAUGCCAAGGUCAUGGGUUCGAUCCCCUUAUGGGUGCG
rnacentral:tRNA from 1 species